CGGAGGGUGCAAGCGUUAUCCGGAUUUACUGGGUUUAAAGGGUGCGUAGGUGGUUUGUAAGUCAGUGGUGAAAUCUCCGAGCUUAACUCGGAAACUGCCAUUGAUACUAUAGAUCUUGAAUUAUCUGGAGGUAAGCGGAAUAUGUCAUGUAGCGGUGAAAUGCUUAGAUAUGACAUAGAACACCAAUUGCGAAGGCAGCUUACUACGGAUAUAUUGACACUGAGGCACGAAAGCGUGGGGAUCAAACAGGAUUAGAUACCCUGGUAGUCCACGCCCUAAACGAUGGAUACUCGACAUCAGCGAUACACUGUUGGUGUCUGAGCGAAAGCAUUAAGUAUCCCACCUGGGAAGUACGAUCGCAAGAUUG
rnacentral:rRNA from 1 species